rnacentral:rRNA from 1 species
AUGCAGACAAUGCACGGUAUGCACCUGGUCUAUGUAGGCGUAGAUUUCGGCCAUGCUGUGCUCGGUGAUGCCGAGCAUGGUGUACGUCUUGCCGCUGCUCGUCUGCCCGUAGGCGAAAAUGCUCGCUGCAAAGCAAAGAGCAUGCAAGCAAGCAGGGAACAUCAAACAUUUUUACAGCAUUGGAUGGAUGUAUGGAUGGAUGCUUUGGCACGUACAGUUGAUGCCGCUGAGCACGGAGAGGGCGACCUCCUUGGCCCCUUCAUCGUACACCUGCCUGGUGCUGCACUCGGGGUCGAACACCCGGUCUGGAAGACGUGCGGUCGAUUGGGAAAUGAACAUUGUUUGCCAUGGCAGGAUGCAUGGAGUUAA